GGAGGGAUGGCUGAGUGGUCGAAAGCGCACGACUCGAAAUCGUGUAGGUCCGAAAGGGCCUCGAGGGUUCAAAUCCCUCUCCCUCCGCCA
rnacentral:tRNA from 1 species